rnacentral:misc_RNA from 1 species
GCAGCAAUUCAAAAGCAAAACAGAGUUAACACAAUACAGGCCCAUAAAAGAAUGAGAACCAGCACAAGGCUCACAACAAUUCAGUUCUGUUUUGCUCUUACAGGUUGGACUCACUAAUUCUCUUCCAUCUCCUGAUGCCUCUAAUUGCGAAGUGAAAUUUCUUGGUUAUCUAUUCAGUUUUAACUGAAGCGUGUUGGCAACAUGGUGAGAACUCAAGGCUCAAUGCUCAUGUUGGUGAAGUUAACUUCUCUGUUUUCGUUUAGUCUUACUGCUUGAACUCAGAAUGUUGCAGACGUAAAUCCCAUAAGGAGCUA